rnacentral:rRNA from 1 species
GAUGAACGCUGGCGGCGUGCCUAAUACAUGCAAGUCGAGCGAACAGACGAGGAGCUUGCUCCUCUGACGUUAGCGGCGGACGGGUGAGUAACACGUGGAUAACCUACCUAUAAGACUGGGAUAACUUCGGGAAACCGGAGCUAAUACCGGAUAACAUGUUGAACCGCAUGGUUCAACAGUGAAAGACGGUCUUGCUGUCACUUAUAGAUGGAUCCGCGCCGCAUUAGCUAGUUGGUAAGGUAACGGCUUACCAAGGCAACGAUGCGUAGCCGACCUGAGAGGGUGAUCGGCCACACUGGAACUGAGACACGGUCCAGACUCCGACGGGAGGCAGCAGUAGGGGAUCUGCCGCAAUGGGCGAAAGCCUGACGGAGCAACGCCGCGUGAGUGAAGAAGGUCUUCGGAUCGUAAAACUCUGUUAUUAGGGAAGAACAAAUGUGUAAGUAACUAUGCACGUCUUGACGGUACCUAAUCAGAAAGCCACGGCUAACUACGUG